GACGAACGCUGGCGGCGUGCUUAACACAUGCCAGUCGAACGAAGAGCGAUGGAAGCUUGCUUCUAUCAAUCUUAGUGGCGAACGGGUGAGUAACGCGUAAUCAACCUGCCCUUCAGAGGGGGACAACAGUUGGAAACGACUGCUAAUACCGCAUACGAUCUAAUCUCGGCAUCGAGGAUAGAUGAAAGGUGGCCUCUACAUGUAAGCUAUCACUGAAGGAGGGGAUUGCGUCUGAUUAGCUAGUUGGGGGGGUAACGGCCCACCAAGGCGAUGAUCAGUAGCCGGUCUGAGAGGAUGAACGGCCACAUUGGGACUGAGACAUGGCCCAGACUCCUACGGGAGGCAGCAGUGGGGAAUCUUCCGCAAUGGACGAAAGUCUGACGGAGCAACGCCGCGGGAGUGAUGACGGCCUUCGGGUUGUAAAGCUCUGUUAAUCGGGACGAAAGGCCUUCUUGCGAAUAGUGAGAAGGAUUGACGGUACCGGAAGAGAAAGCCACGGCUAACUACGUG
rnacentral:rRNA from 1 species